GCCCCCGUAGCUCAGUGGUAGAGCGGCGACGUGAUGAGCCGCAGGUCCCGGGUUCAAGUCCCGGCGGGGGCU
rnacentral:tRNA from 1 species